AGCACAUAAUUGCCUUUUGUACAGGGAAAGGCAAAUAUGUAUUUUUGUACAAAAAUGGUUACAUUCUGCCCUGUGAAACCUCACUACGAAGAAUGGGUGAAAUGGAAUGUAGAACAGAGGUGGGCAAGCUAUGGCCCAAGGGCCACAGCUGCUGGCACAAUGCUCUGGGCGGCCGGACAGUGCAGCUGCAGAGCCAUGGCCACAGCCUGACCCGGUGCUCUGUGCUGCGCGCUGGUGUGGCUGGCUCCAGUCACAGCCGUGCCGCCAGCCACCAGUGCUCCAGGCAGCGCGAAUGUUGCCUGUCCAGGAUUAUUGGUGCUUCUUUUGCUAAAAGCCUCCUGUCCAGGUUCCUGUACCCAUCACUGCCCAUCAUCUUCUUUGGGUCUUAAAGUCACUCAAGAUGGACUGUAGCUUUAGAGACUUCUUCUGUUACCCAGUGCAACACAAGAACAUUAUCUGCAGCACAACCAACUAAAAGCAAAAACAGCAGGAACAUCUGACAGCCUUUGGAUCCUGAAAAGGAUCGAUUUAUCUAACAAUGCAUGCUGCUGUGACUGUCAGAUUCUCUACUUGAAAAUGUGGUUAGAAGCCCAAGCUGCAAGUAUGCUUACCAGCAGGGUUAUUUGUUUCACUCAGCUGUUGCUGAGAGAGUGAAUUUACCUCUUGCUCCAGUCCUUGAAGACAUUAUUCUGGCUUCUUGUUCAAUUAUGCAUUUCUCUUCAUUAUUGUUUUGCUGUUGUUUAUUUUACUAAUCUAUGGGGUCUUGAUGAUAAGAACUACCACAUUUCAGAUGGAUGUUUAUAGUGACAGAAUGGAGCUCCCCUCUACAUCACCUUCAAUUUCUAAUUAACUUAAGAAUCACAGGGCACUAAGCAAUGCAUCAUGCUACUGACUUAUAUAUGCUAAAAUACUGGGUAGGAAAGGACAACAAAAGCAUCUGCUUCUGUAGAUGAUUCUUUAGUAAAGCAUUUGACUGACAAGAACAGAUGAGAAUGGCACUUUGCAGUGUUAGGAAUCUAAUCAAGAAUGUGUACACUAAACAAAAAGCAUGACAUACAAUUGAUUAUGCAAGCCCUAAACUAACUAGCUUGCUGGCUUAAGCAUUAGUCUGCUGAACCCAGGGUUGUGAGCUCAAUCCUUGAGGGGGCCAUCUGGGGCAAAAUCUGUCUGGGAAUUAGUCCUGCUUUGAGCAGGGGGUUGGACUAGAUGACCUCUUAAGGUCCCUUCCAAUCCUGAUAUUCUAUGAGAACUGGGGUGAAACUUUGACCCCACUGAAGUCAUUUUGCCCCAGGUGUUGUACUUACUAUUUGAUUUGGUCUAAGUAGUCAAUCUACUCCUAGCAGUAAAGGUUUGCAACUUUAGACCCUUAAUUUCUAUUGCACCCUUUAUAUUAACUGUAUCUCAAAACUCUUUACAGAAAAUUGAAGCUACUAGGUUAAAAUAAUAAUUUAAACCACAAUUUUUACUUAUGUUACAUAAGAUCAUACAUAACUUUUGAAAUCUAGAUCAAUCAUCACUAUAUUUGUUUAGUUUUUGUAUUUCUCUCCAUUUGGACAGUAAAAAUAGAGCAGCCAGUUUCACUUCUGCUUACAAUAAGCGUGUCAAUUCCACUUUUAGAUUCUGGUGUAUUAACACAACACCAAAAGAUUUGAGUUUCAGCUUAGAAGCAGAUCCAAACCAAAUUCACAGAUCAGAGCUCACGGCUCAAACGUAUCUCCACAAUGAACCAAAUCUUAAAUUACUAUAAUUUUGGAAACUUCAUAUUACAGUAUAGUCCUAACCAUUGGAAAGUCAACCUUCAUUAACAGUUAUCACUGCAAAUGGCUCAAUGGUCUUUAAAACAGGAAAUAACUUCAGUAUCUCAGAUACCAAAACGUAACUGCUGAUAAAAUGCUUUUUUUUACAAGCAUCCAUUAUAUAAACAUAUAUUUUAAUGGUCUAAUUGUCAGAGGUAAGGCCUGAAGUCCACAUAUAUUUUUCUACACACAUUUCCAUGGUCUUCUCAAAAUUAUUAUUGUACAAAUGCCUAGUUUUCAAGCAUAAUCAUGGCAAUUAUCCCGUACACCAUAGUGUGCAAAUAAAAGCACACAAAAAUACAUGAGA